AGACUCGUUAAUUUGCACUGUCCAAUGGGGUAAAUGACUGACACCAAAUCUAUUAUUGAUAGCAGGUUUAAAAUAGGAGGAAGGAGGAAAGAGCAACAGAAAUUGGGAGCCAGAUGGCAGAGCAGGAAAAAUAAACACCAGAGUAGGCCUGGUAUUCAGAGAGAUAUCAGGAGCUGAAAGUCUGGGACCAGAAGAUAAACUUGAUCAACUUCACUCUUCUGUGGAGAGUGGCCUGAAUGAUUAGACUCUGAGGCCACAAUGUAACUCGACCUUGUCAAUAGGUUCUCUUGUAGUUCUCUGCCAGUACCAGGCAAGUAUAGAUGUGGCCCAAGGAAAUGUGGCUCAGAGGUCCUGAAAACAGCAGGCUGCAUUCUGAGACCCCCUGGUGGGAGUUCAUUUGUUGUACAGUGCAAUGUGGGGAUGUUUGCUUUUCAGCAUCUUCAGUGACUUGUUGGUAAAACUUUUCUCCACUAAACGGCCCCAGGAUCCUUUUGGCAAAUCCCAUUAUUAGAAAAUACUCAAGUGGUAGUCAUUUACACAUUAGUGUGAAUUAAUUUGCCAAUGUAUUUACCUCAUUCAAACUAUUCUAAGUUUGUUUUUGUUUUGUUUUGUUUUGUUUUCUAAUUGAAGAAUAAUGGACUUUGUUUCCCACCAUAGUAAUUAUUUCCUUCAAGUGAGUAGAAAAUAUUUUUGGUGUAUGAAUGCAUGUGUAUUAGGGGAUGUGGGAAUGAAUGUGGAUGUAUGUAAAGGAAGUUCCUUUGGACCUUUUGAGUUAUGUUUUUAAUAUUGGGCAACUCAAUAUGAGUCAGGAGACCUAAAUGCCACAGCUCAAAAAUGCACGUGUCACUGAAGACAAAUCACCAGAAACCUUUAGAGCCUCAGUCUUAACAACAGUUUUUAUAACAAGUGACUAAUAUAAGUGCAGAUAGGUUCCUGAGGUAAGAGCUCUAAAUAUAUUAACUCUAAUCUUCAGAACAACCCUAGGAGGUUGUAUCUACUUUCAUCAUUAAUUUAUAGAUGAGUAAACUAAAGCACAGAGAGGUUAAUUAACUUGCCCACUGUCACACAGCUGACACAUGUCAGAACCAAGAUACAAAUCCAGGCAGUCAGGUCCCAAAGUGUAUAUUUUUUAUCACUACACUGUAUCAUAAUCUUUCAUGUAAAAAUGUAACUUUUUCCUCUUUCAUCUCAUAGGACAGUGUGAGAGUGGAUCUGAAAUAAAAUUGAUUGAAAAAUGCUGACCUGUCUCCCUUUAAUCUUGGCAAUAGGGGGACCUUUGGGGCUGGCCUUCUCUUCCCAAUUCUUGCCCAUAGUAGGUGCUCAAUUAUAUCUAUGAAAUUAGUGAAUGACUAUCCUCAAAUGCAGCCUUCCUGUUUUUGUCAUACACCUACCCUUUCCUGUACAUUCCAAUUCUCUUAAAAUAAUUAAAGUUCAUAUCCAAGCCUUCUGUUAACCAGCACUUCACAAAUCUCUAUCCUAGAGUCAUCAUGACUCCAACACUGGACCAUAUUCUGACCACUAGAGGAACUGAAUUAGAGUUUCACUGAUGACAACUCCAUGCUGUUUGGGAUCAGCCAGACUUGACAAAACAUGCUGACACACCAAUCACGUGUCACAACACCAGACUCACAGACAACAUUUUCAUGGACACUGAGCCACUUCUGCUUUUAUCCUGUCCUCCUCCACUUCUAGCCUUCAGACACUUGGUGCCUCCCUGAGGAUACACCAACACUUCAAGAACACAGAGUGCACCUGGAGUCGGCUGAGUAGUCCUGUGUCCUGAAAUAACUGCUCGACGUUCCCAGAGCCAGUAAAUGGGAUUUGGGACAUUUUUGUCAUGAAGUCACAAUGUGGGACUAUAAAUGUCUUGCCUUUAAGGGUAGGGUCUUCCCAUGACCCAUCCAUAACAUUUGUGAAAAUGUUGUGUGUUGUGCGUUUUGGAGAGAAGAAUUUUCAUUAUCUUCACAAAGGGAUCUGUUACCCUAAAAGAUUUAGAAUCACUCAGCUUAUUGGUAAGAUGUGCCUAUUCUUUUAGACUCCAGGUGAGGCUUGAUCUCCAGUCUCAAAAGGAAAUAUAUGAUGUCAUCAGACCCCUAGUAAGGUAUUUCUGAAUGUAUGAUAUCAUUUCCAUGUAACUCACCUUGCUAAGUCAUUUAGAUCCAACCGACCAUCUUUAUUUCUGUCAAAAAUCUUCAUCUGAAAUGCAGAAGGGAAAAUGGUUGUACUUGUAACAGGAACUAAUUCUGAACGUUAUUAAAGCACUUUUCUAUUUUG